rnacentral:rRNA from 1 species
AGUGGAUGGGGGGCAACCUAGUUGUGCGUGUGUAAAGGUAGUGCCAAGAAAAGCGAUGAUCAUGUUGAAAAUCAAUUCCCGGUACCCGAAACCGACACAGGUGGGCAAGUAGAGAAUACUAAGGGGCGCGAGGUAACUCUCUCCAAGGAACUCGGCAAAAUGACCCCGUAACUUAGGGAGAAGGGGUGCCACCGAGAGGUGGUCGCAGUGAAGAGGCCCAGGCGACUGUUUAGCAAAAACAUAGGUCUCUGCAAACUCGAAAGAGGAGGUAUAGGGGCUGACGCCUGCCCAGUGCCGGAAGGUUAAAGAAGUUGGUCAGUCUUAGGAUGAAGCUAGCGACUGAAGCCCCGGUGAACGGCGGCCGUAACUAUAACGGUCCUAAGGUAGCGAAAUUCCUUGUCGGGUAAGUUCCGACCCGCACGAAAGGCGUAACGAUCUGGGCGCUGUCUCGGAGAGAGGCUCGGCGAAAUAGGAUUGUCUGUGAAGAUACGGACUACCUGCAUUUGGACAGAAAGACCCUAUGAAGCUUUACUAUAGCUUGGAAUUGUGUUCGGGCUUCCUGUGCGCAGGAUAGGUGGGAGGCGUAGAAGGUAUUCUUGUGGGGAUACUGGAGCCAACGGUGAGAUACCACUCUCAGGAGGCUAGAAUUCUAACUUAAUUAAGGACAGUUUCAGGUGGGUAGUUUGACUGGGGCGGUCGCCUCCAAAAAGGUAACGGAGGCGUACAAAGGUUCCCUCAGACUGGUUGGAAAUCAGUCGAAGAGUGCAAAGGCAGAAGGGAGCUUGACUGCGAGAAGUACAGUUCGAGCAGGGUGGAAACACGGUCUUAGUGAUCCGACGGUGCUGUGUGGAAGGGCCGUCGUUCAACGGAUAAAAGUUACUCUAGGAUAACAGGCUGAUCUCCCCCAAGAGUUCACAUCGACGGGGAGGUUUGGCACCUCGAUGUCGGCUCAUCGCAACCUGGGGCGGAAGUACGUCCCAAGGGUUGGGCUGUUCGCCCAUUAAAGCGGUACGUGAGCUGGGUUCAGAACGUCGUGAGACAGUUCGGUCCAUAUCCGAUGUAGGCGUGAGAAUAUUGAGAGGAGCCUUCCUUAGUACGAGAGGACCGGGAAGGACGCACCGCUGGUGUACCUGUUAUGAUGCCAAUUGUAAACGCGGGGUAGCCAAGUGCGGAGAGGAUAACCGCUGAAAGCAUCUAAGUGGGAAGCCCACCUCAAGAUGAGUAUUCUGGUGUAAGGUCACGGGAAGACGACCCGUAAAUAGGCACGAGGUGGAAGUGCAGAGAUGUAUGAAGCCGAAGUGUACUAAUAGACCGUCGGCUUGAU